AAAAAGCAGCAAAAAAAAGUAUCGAAAAGCAAAACAUUUCAAAUACGUAUUCGUUGUAAUAGUAGCGAGUGAAGCAGCGCAUCUAGGACCUGGAUUCUGGAUUCCAGUUUUAAAUACGUUAGUAGUUACCCCAGUGCUUGACUCAGUAAGGUGGGUAGAGGUGACCAUCCCCGACAGCAAUGGCAAAACUUAAGAUUACUGAACAACAUAAUAUUAAUAGUGAUGGACAAAAUAAUUUACUCAAAAUAAUUUUUCAAUUAAACCAUGAUAAUUGAAAUGGAACACUAUUGCAAAAUUUUUAUAAUAAUUGAUUCAAUUAUUAAAGAAUAUG